rnacentral:rRNA from 1 species
AGAGUUUGAUCAUGGCUGAGAACGAACGUUGGCGGCGUGGAUUAGGCAUGCAAGUCGCGCGAAUCCCAGCAAUGGGGGAAGCGGCGUAAGGGGCAGUAAGGCGUGGGCAACCCACCCCCCGGUCCGGGAUAGCCCGUCGAGAGACGGGGUAAUACCGGGCGACACCACCGGAAGGCAUCUUUUGGUGGUCAGAGGUCCGCCGCCGGGGGCGGGGCCCACGUGGUAUUAGCUAGUUGGUGGGGUGACGGCCCACCAAGGCGGAGAUGCCUAGCGGGUGUGAGAGCACGACCCGCGCCACUGGGACUGAGAAACUGGCCAGACACCUACGGGUGGCUGGGGUCGAGGAUCGUCCGCAAUGGACGAAAGUCUGACGGAGCGACGCCGCGUGGGCGAUGAAGGCCUUCGGGUUGUAAAGCACUGUCGAGGGGGAGGAAGCCGCAAGGUUGACCGAUCCCUGGAGGAAGCACGGGCUAAGUUCGUGCCAGCCGCCGCGGUAAUUC